GGCCGGUUGGCCCAAUGGCAAGGCGUCUGACUACGAUCACAUAAGUGCCGUGUAAUCAGGAGAUUCUGGGUUCGACCCCCAGGCUGGUCA
rnacentral:tRNA from 1 species